AACGGAAUUGUGAGCUUGUGACAACAAACCGAAGACCUUUAAUUUUCGGAUCGUGGAUUGGAGGCUGUUCGGGUGGUCGCGCGCGAGUUCGGGCCGAACCGGACAACAGGUGCCGCGGGAGGCCGAUUGCAAGUGACAACGAGCAAUCGGAGAGUAAGUUAAGGUGGAUUGUGCUUACCAAAGCGACUAGGUCGCCCCGCAU
rnacentral:lncRNA from 1 species